rnacentral:rRNA from 1 species
UACGAGGGGGGCAAGCGUUGUUCGGAAUUAUUGGGCGUAAAGGGCGCGUAGGCGGUUUGGCAAGUUUGGUGUGAAAUCUUCGGGCUCAACUCGAAGUCUGCAUCGAAAACUGCCGGGCUUGAGUAUGGGAGAGGUGAGUGGAAUUUCCGGUGUAGCGGUGAAAUGCGUAGAUAUCGGAAGGAACACCUGUGGCGAAAGCGGCUCACUGGACCAUUACUGACGCUGAGGCGCGAAAAGCUAGGGGAGCAAACAGG